AUCAAAUCGACAUUCCGUCUCUUCUUCGUCCAACGAAUCAGAUUCUCAUAGCCCUUCUAGUGCUAGGAGAGCUGAUGGUUCUGAUCGUCGUUGGAGCCCAUUUAAUACUCUGUUGUGGCUUUCCAUUGAGCUAAUAUUCACCUUAGGACAGAUUGGUGCUGCCGUUGUCGUUUUAUCCUUGUCAAAAGAGGAAAACCCAGAAACUCCAUUAUUUGCUUGGAUUGUGGGAUAUGCAACUGGAUGUGCAGCAACCCUUCCUUUACUGUACUGGCGUUAUCUUCUCCGUUACCAAACCAUCAGUCAGAGAUCAGCUCAACUGCGUCAAGAUUCACCCCAAGUCAAUUCCACUG
rnacentral:misc_RNA from 1 species